rnacentral:rRNA from 1 species
UACGUAGGUGGCGAGCGUUGUCCGGAUUACUGGGCGUAAAGAGCGCGCAGGCGGUCGUACAAGUCGCGUGUGAAAGCCCCCGGCUCAACUGGGGAGGGUCACGCGAUACUGUUCGACUCGAAGGCAGGAGAGGGAAGCGGAAUUCCCGGUGUAGUGGUGAAAUGCGUAGAUAUCGGGAGGAAUACCAGUGGCGAAGGCGGCCUUCUCGGACGGAUACUGACGCUGAGGCGCGAAAGCCAGGGGAGCAAACGGG